rnacentral:rRNA from 1 species
UACGUAGGGGGCAAGCGUUGUCCGGAAUCAUUGGGCGUAAAGCGCGUGUAGGCGGCUAGGUAAGUCUGCUCUGAAAGCCCGGGGCUCAACCCCGGGAGGCCGGGUGGAUACUGUCUAGCUCGAGUCCGGAAGAGGAGUGUGGAAUUCCUGGUGUAGCGGUGAAAUGCGCAGAUAUCAGGAGGAACACCAAUGCGAAGGCAGCACGCUGGUACGGUACGUCGACUGAGACGCGAAAGCGUGGGGAGCAAAGCAGG